UAGAUAAAAAGCCAGUUCAUGCUUUUAUAGUAUGAAAAUUGGUGAUUUAUAAUAACUUAGCAAAUCGCAAAGUGAAAACAGGCGAUAAAUCAUUCAAGUUUCUGACCUAUCAGCUUUCGACGGUAUGGUAUUGGCUUACCGUGGCAGUGACGGUUAACGGGGGAUUAGGGUUCGAUUCCGGAGAGGGAGCCUGAGAAACGGCUACCACAUCUAAGGAAGGCAGCAGGCGCGCAAAUUACCCAAUUCUAACAGUUUGAGAGAGGUAGUAACAAGAAAUAACAAUACAAGGCAGUUAAAAUGCUUUGUAAUUGGAAUGAUAGAAAUUUAAACCCUUUUUAAAGUAUCAAUUGGAGGGCAAGUCUGGUGCCAGCAGCCGCGGUAAUUCCAGCUCCAAUAGCGUAUAUUAAAAUUGUUGCAGUUAAAAAGCUCGUAGUUGAAGUUCUGCUGAAAGUAACCGGUCUGCUUUUAAUAAAAGUGGUAUCUUGGUAUGUAUUUAGCAAUGAUGUCCUUUGAAGUGUUUUUUACUUUAUUGUAAUAAAGCAUAUUCAGGACUUUUACUUUGAGAAAAUUAGAGUGUUUCUAGCAGGCUAACGCUUUGAAUACUGCAGCAUGAAAU
rnacentral:rRNA from 1 species